rnacentral:tRNA from 1 species
GAGAGAGUAAGCCCUAACCCAAAAGAUUGCUAGUUUUUCGGGCCCGCAGUUGAAGUCUGCGGCUCACUCA